UGGGAAGAGGACUUUGCUGCUGAAGUGUU
rnacentral:piRNA from 1 species